rnacentral:rRNA from 1 species
CUACGGGACGCUGCAGUGAGGAAUAUUGCACAAUGGGGGGAACCCUGAUGCAGCAACGCCGCGUGGAGGAUGACGCAUUUCGGUGUGUAAACUCCUUUUAUAUGUCAAGAAAAUGACGGUAGCAUAUGAAUAAGCACCGGCUAACUCCGUGCCAGCAGCCGCGGUAAUACGGAGGGUGCAAGCGUUACUCGGAAUCACUGGGCGUAAAGGACGCGUAGGCGGGUUGGAAAGUCGGGUGUGAAAUCCUACAGCUUAACUGUAGAACUGCACUUGAAACUUCUAAUCUAGAGUAUGGGAGGGGGAGAUGGAAUUAGUGGUGUAGGGGUAAAAUCCGUAGAUAUCACUAGGAAUACCUAAAGCGAAGGCGAUCUCCUGGAACAUUACUGACGCUAAGGCGUGAAAGCGUGUGGAGCAAACAGGAUUAGAUACCCGCGUAGUC